rnacentral:lncRNA from 1 species
UUAAAAACCUCAUGUACAACUAUAGAGAAAAAUUAUUUCGAAUAGAUGCAACUGCCGAUUUCCUUUUAGUUAUGUUACUCCAUUUAAAUACGGCUACUGAACAUGCUGAGAAGAGUAUUCUUAAUUUGAAUUCACUUAAAACAACUGCAAAAUACAAUUUGUUGCAAAAGACUAUCAGUGAUAAAAAGGUGAACACUGUUACAUGUACAUCUCCAUGUACAAUCGUAUGUAUUUUUGUUUCAACUUUUAUAUACAUAUACAUACAUAUACAUACAUAUACAUACAUAUACAUACAUANNNNNNNNNNAUACAUAUACAUACAUAUACAUACAUAUACAUACAUAUACAUACAUAUACAUACAUAUACAUACAUAUACAUACAUAUACAUACAUAUACAUACAUAUACAUACAUAUAUAUAUAUGUACAACCACGUGUACAUGAUUUACUUUACACCUUUUCUACUCACUAUAGAUCAACAAAAAAAAGAAAAGGAACUUUAAACACAUUGCUCCAUUCAAUUUCUUCCGUGAAGAACCAGAAGAAAGUAUAGGAAACGAGUCUAUUCUUGCUAUGGAUGAUAUUAUAAAAACAUGUUCAUUAGCAAAAAGUACAAAUCAAUAUGCCUCACUUUACGAGUUAAGUAAAGAGUUAUGGCUAACUGUACAAAAUAUGUAUUCUGCGUCUUAUGGUUUUGUUGGAUCAAAAAAAUUAAAAGUUCCAACGUUUGUUUUAUCAAAAAUAAGAAAUGUAGGGUUCUUGUUGAAAUGGUUUAAUAAUAAAAAUUUACCAAAUAAUAAUGUAAACUUUAUGGUUUCCCAUUAUUCUCCUUUGAUAUCGGCUAGUUUGCAAUUAAGUAAGUUUUUUUUUUUUUUUUUUUUUUUUGCUCCUUAACAUGACUUGUUUACAUACUACAUGUACGUAACAUCAUACAUUUAUACAUACACACACGCACAUAUAUAUAUAUAUAUAUAUAUAUAUAUAUGCUACUUUAUUUUAUUUUAUUUUUUUUUUUUUUGUGUAGCUUUUUUUAUCAGAUCAAUGAUAGAAGAAUAUAAACCAAGCUUUCUUAGUAAUUUUUCGGCAGUUUUAAAAAAAGUUUUAACAUUAGGAAGAAGUGGAGGUAUACCUAAAAAUUACCUUGACUUAGAAGAAUAUUCAGAAGUUGAUUAUUUAUUAAGAUCCAACAAGUAUGAUAGAGUACAGAGAGUUAUAAAUCAAACUGUUAAAGUUUUUAAAAAAAAAUUCUUAUCAGCAUCUUUUACUCCAACAAUUUUUGCUCAAUACAUUUCUUUGUUCUUAUCUUUAUGGGUUUUUGAAAAUGAAAAAAAUGUUUCAUGGGAAAAUACAAACAUAACUAGAUUUAAAAAAUUAUUUUUUACGUCUUAUUUCGCCCACAAAUCCGGACCAGUCGAAAAGGCAACCGAAAUAGUAUAUAAUAAAUGCCAUAAAAAAACUGACGCAAUUGUGUUAGGAUGUAUAGCUGAUUAUGGUGGAAAACGUAGAAAAAGGUUGAAAUUUAUAACAAAAAAAUGUAAACCAACAAGAAUACCAAUCAGAAAAAGAAAUAUUCGUAACAUAUUAAAAACAGUUAUGACCACAUUAUCAGACCCAUUGGAUAUUCUAAAAAUCGCUACCGAUUUAUCUACAAGAUGUUCACAUUAUAGUCGAAGUGGUUCAAUGGAUAAAAAAAGAAAAGACAAAAAAAAAAUGAAUUAUGAUGUAUUUACAAGAUCAGAAUUAUCCUUUAGAUUUAUUUGUGCCCAAGUUACAAAAAAUCUUGUAAGCAAGGCAAUAAAUAACGUAUCUAAACUUAAAGACUUCAGUAAAGCUGAGUAUGUAAUUGAACAAACACUAAAUAGCAUACAAUAUUUAAAAAUAAGAAAUCACAGAGAUAAAAGUAAUGUAAUAACUAUCCUUUGUCCUUUUAUGGAAAAAAAUGAUCCACAAAUAAGGGAUUUGGAAAGAGCUAAUAUUAGUCUUUUUGUUUAUAAAAACGUUGGAUUGUUAAAAAUGAUAAAAGGAAAAAUAAAAACUAAAAUAUUCAGAAGAUCUGUUUCGAUUAGAAGAGGUAUUGUUUCAGACAGCCCAGUUUUAAUAAAAGUUGGAGCUCGAAAAUUUAAUGGUUUAUUGUAUUCUGGAGGAUACCAUUUAAAUGUUCCCGGCAUUCAGAAUGAUACUUAUCACAUUGGACUUUCUCAUACAAGAAUGGUUUAUAAUGGAGAAAAAUUCGUUGACGAGCUAGAAAUACUAAGACCUAAUGGUGUUAAAAAAAUUAUUAUGCAAGAUACAAAUAAUGACGAUAGAAGAAUGUUUGUUUUAGAAGAUAACACUGUAGUAUCUGAAUUUGAUUAUGCUAUACAUAAUCCUAUGGCUAAUAUAGCCGUUUUUGAAGGAAAUAAUUAUAUAGCAUCCCAUGCCCUUUAUGGUAUAUUAAUGGAAAGUGAAAGAAUUGUUUGGACUGGACCGCAGACCGGAUGGGUUGUAGAAUUUGCCUUGAACACCGUUUCCAACACUCCAAUUCCAAUAUUUGAUGGAAAUGCAUGGGUUUUACUUGAAAAGUUAAGCAUUAAAAGUAUUUUAGGUAAGAAAUGAAACAAUAUGGUAAAAA